AGUCGCGUGGUCUAAUGGUUAUGAUUUCUCGUUCACAGUCAUGUGAGCUUCGCAAGGAUUCCGAGAAGGUUCCCGGUUCGAUCCCGGGCGCGACUA